rnacentral:misc_RNA from 1 species
GAUGAAGAACGUAGCGAAAUGCGAUAACUAGUGUGAAUUGCAGAAUUCCGUGAAUCAUCGAGUCUUUGAACGCACAUUGCGCCCCCUGGUAUUCCGGGGGGCAUGCCUGUCCGAGCGUCAUUGCUGCCCAUCAAGCACGGCUUGUGUGUUGGGCCUCCGUCCUCCUCCCGGGGGACGGGCCCGAAAGGCAGCGGCGGCACCGCGUCCGGUCCUCGAGCGUAUGGGGCUUCGUCACCCGCUCUUGUAGGCCCGGCCGGCGCUUGCCGACACAUCAAUCUUUUUUCCAGGUUGACCUCGGAUCAGGUAGGGAUACCCGCUGAACUUAAGCAUAUCAAUAAGCGGAGGA